UUUGGAGGGGCGUGGUCAAGGUGGAAAAGGUAAGAAGGAAGGUAUUCUCAUUUGAUUUCCGGCCAGCAGUCAGUAAGCCUCGCCCACCAUGACCUCUGCAUACGUCGCCCUCCUUGGUAUCCUCAGUCCAUGUAUUGAAGAGAAGGGGCAACUCAAGCUCUGAUGCACCACCAACUCCACCAUCAUCACCGCCAUCUUCUCCACUCUCCAGCAGCCUAGCAUUACCUCCUACUGUCCACGGCCUGCUAUCUGUGCCCCGCCUUUUGACGCCAGCCUGUCUAACCAGCGAGGACUGAUACUGCUUUCCUGUCUUAUACAGUUCAUCACCAGUGCAGUCUGAAGGAGAGAGAGACGUUAGCAUGUCUAACCAGCGAGGACUGAUACCGCCAUCCUGCCAGCCUGUCUUCUGCAAUUCAUCACCAGUGCAGUCAGACGGAUAGGGACGCCAGCCUGUCUAACUAACGAGGACUAAUACUGCCAUCCUGCUGCCCUGCCAUCUUGUCUUCUGCAAUUUAUCACCAGUGCGGCCUGACGGAGAGGGACACCAGCCUGCACUUCUGCUAUUGUUGUUUGACUUUGCCCUAUCCUGUCCUACACUUGCUAUAUGGUGGACGUGACUGUCUGUACGUAGUGUGUGUGUUCUAAGAGUUCAAGGACUCCUCCCAUUGUUUUUUUUUUUUUUUUAUGAUUUUGUUUUGGUGGAAAUGCGCCGAGCUUGUCUCCGGAGAGUCUGCGAGGUAUCGAUAUACAAGAGGGCCGAGUGAAUAAAGGUGAAGGGAAGU